rnacentral:rRNA from 1 species
AGCAGCCGCGGUAAUUCCAGCUCCAAUAGCGUAUAUUAAAGUUGUUGCAGUUAAAAAGCUCGUAGUUGAACUUUAGGCCUGGCUGGCCGGUCGGCCUUCUGGUCUGUACUGGUCUGGCUGGGUCUUUCCUUCUGGCGAGCCGUCAUGCUCUUCAUUGCGUGUGGCGGGGAACCAGAACUUUUACCUUGAAAAAAUUAGAGUGUUUAAAGCAGGCUUGUGCUUGAAUACAUUAGCAUGGAAUAAUGGAAUAGGACUCUGGUUCUAUUUUGUUGGUUUCUAGGAUUGACGUAAUGAUUAAUAGGGAUAGUUGGGGGCAUUAGUAUUCAAUUGUCAGAGGUGAAAUUCUUGGAUUUAUUGAAGACUAACUACUGCGAAAGCAUUUGCCAAGGAUGUUUUCAUUAAUCAAGAACGAAAGUUAGGGGAUCGAAGACGAUCAGAUACCGUCGUAGUCUUAACCAUAAACUAUGCCGACUAGGGAUCGGAUGAUGUUAAUUUUUAAUGUACUCAUUCGGCGU